rnacentral:lncRNA from 10 species
CCCACUUAUAAGUGAGGACGUGUGGUGUUUGGUUUUCUGUUCCUGCGUUAGUUGGCUGAGGAUAAUGGUGUCCAGCUUCAUCCAUGUCCCUGUAAAGGACAUGAUUCUGAAGUCUCGGGAGCUGUCUCUCUGUUCCACAGUUUUUUUUCUUGUCUUUGACUUGAAGGAACUGGGUCAAUUGUCCUGCGGAAUGUUCCACCUUCUGGGUUUAUCUAUGGAUGAGACUUUCUUUCAGCUGGGUGCGGUGGCUCACACCUGUAAUCCCCGCUACUCGGGAAGCUGAAGCGGGAGGAUCUCUUGAGCCCAGGAGGUCAAGGUUGCAGCGAACUAUGAUCCGCACCACUGCACUCCAGCCUGGGCAGCAGAGCGAGACCCUGUCUCAAAAAAAAUUCACUUUGAAUUAAGGAGGGAGACCUGUGAGGGCACAGCAAGUCGUAUUUGAGCUGAGGGAGAAAGAAUUCAGUCUCAGCAUCAAGUAUGGUGACAGCUGGGGAUUUUGCUUAAAGCAGGCUGGGAAAAGAAGGAAAUUCGAACGCAGGCUGCAACACGGAUGAACCUUGAGGACGUCGUGCUGAGGUGAAUUAAGCCAGACACAGAGGACAAAGGGGCAAACGCUACAUGAUUCCACUCACAGGAGGUCCCUGGAGUUGCGUGAGAUGCACAGAGAAAAUGGAAGGUGUUUCCCUGCAACGGUGCCGGCUUUCCUUGGAGUUUGGUGACGAUUGAUAUGGAUGUGGCUUUGUGGUUGGCUGCCUGCCCAGCUCCCAGGGGCGAGGGGCUCCUCCUGCCCCAGCCCUGCCUGUCAGUGCCCCCGCCUGUGGCCCCACCGACCGUCCCAUCCACCCCAUCUGUCCACAUGGAGUUCACACGUGUCUGAGCCCUUCUUGUUCUUCAGGAACCUAAAGUGGAAGUUCGGAUAAUUAAUUCAAGACUCCAUGAAGUGUACAGGCGAAGAUCAUCUCUUUCCGGCCCUGCUGCGGACACUAGUGCAGUGAGCAGAUGCCUUCUCAGUUCCGCAGCCGCCCUCUGAGCCGUCUGAUUCCUCCACGUGGACCUGGGUUUCCACACAAGCAACGAGGAAGGCAGAGCCACACACACUGCGGAUAAAAAGAGUAUUUUCAUCUAACGUUCUGCGGAGGCCCAUGGUUGGAGGGAGUGACAGCCGCGCCUUCCCGUGAAGGGAAUGGAGUAGGUGCCACACAAUGGGCGUGCCCACCGGAGACCCGAGCAAGAGUGAAUGAUUUUCAAAUUAACCUCCUCGUUCUUCACCUUCCUCAGGAACACGCUACUCAUGGUACUUGCUAAAUUCUGCUUUGCUCUCCUAUCACACAGGACCCUCACCCUUUGAGACGCCGUCUGCCCAGACACACUGCUUGCUAGAUAUGAGGAGCUGUGGGUCCCCAGAGAUCACACAAGAUCCUCACCCUCUCAGAUGCCGUACACCCGGACGCACUGCCUGUUGGAUGUGAGCAGCUGCGGGUCCCCAGAAAUCACAAGGGACCCUCACCUGCGAGUUCAGAGAUCACACAGGACCCUCACCCUCUGAGAUGCCGUCCACCUGGACGCACUGCUUGGUGGAUGUGAGCAGCUGUGGGUCCCCAGAGAUCAUACAGGAUCCUCACCUGCGGGUCCCCAGAGAUCACACAGGAUCCUCACCCGCGGGUCCCCAGACAUCAUGCAGGACCCUCACCCUCUGAGAUGCCAUCCGCCUGGACGCACUGCUCGCUGGAUAUGAGGAGCUGUGGGUCCCCAGAGGUCACACAGGAUCCUCACCUGUGGGUCCCCAGAGAUCAUGGGGGAUCCUCACCCUCUGAGACGCCAUCUGCCCGGACACACUGCUUGGUGGAUGUGAGCCUGCGGGUUCCUGGUUUCUGCCCAGCUGACAUGUGGUGGUUCUCAGCGAGGCUGCUCGGGCGCUGUAGGCUGGGUGCCCCAUCCUCCAGCGGCUGUCAUGUGGCCAUGGGUGGGUCACAGCCACGCGUGUUCCCAGUGUGAUGAGCCGAUGGGUGGGCUGCUCUCUGCCCACACCCGGCUGGCCCAGGCCGUUGUCUUGCCCUGAGGACUGGCCCUGUGGUGUCCUGAGUGGCAGGGCCAAGGGCUCUGCUUCUUCCUGUGCUGAGGUGGUCACCCCGUGACAGGUUCUGUCUGCAGCGCACACCCUCCAGGAGGCACCUGCCCCCCAGCCCCUGCCUCAGGCCCCGCUUCCUGGAGCCCAGCCUAAGACAUCGGUGGCCAGGACGGCAAGGACCUGAGACACAGUGCCAGCCACAGCAGCACUCCUGCCUGAGUGGGGUCUGGAUGUUCCGGGAGGGCCCUUGUCUCAGACUCCCCCAGACCUUUCUCGACAAAUGAAGCUUCAACCUCUGGUUUGCCAGGUGAUGGUUAGGCAGCCUGGUCUCACAGCUGCUGGACUCCCUGGAUCACUGUGGCCUCAGUGUGGACAGUGGAGCCUCACGACCCUCUCUGUUUUUCUUUGCUUUUGUCAGGUGUGGGUGUGAGAUGGCCCAGACUUGGGCCACAGCCACAAGCUUCUGUGACUCACGCAACUCAAGAGCACUGUAGUGGGGUCUCACCGCAGAAGCCAUCUGGGAAUGCUCUUGACUUGGGGUGUGUGCGUGUUUUCCCAUUUUGAAGAAUAAGGUCAAUUUUAAAAUUUUCUGACACUUUCUCGCUUUGCCAAUUUUUGAUGGCAAAAUUUUAGUCUCCAGCCUCUCCUUUCUACUUCAGAAGCUUGUGUGUUGCUUGUCUCAGCUGUUAGUGGAUAUGGGUUCUGAAAAUGGUAAUUAAUUUUAACAAUAGCUUAAGUAAGCCAGACAUUAAUCAUAAUUGGCAAAGGAAAUAUGCUGUAAAGUAUUAUAUAAUCUAAGAUAAAACAGGAGCAAUUUUUGCAUAAUUUGUUAUUUUGUACUGCCUGUGUUAUCAUUAGCACAGUGAUUAAGAAUUAACUGAAAUUACUCAAAUUACCAGAAAUAAUUCAAUUAUCGAUAAUUGUAUAUCGAUGUAUAAUAACAUAUACAACCAAACACUUAGGUGAUUUGCUCAGGAUACAUUUCACAACUUGUUUUUCCAUCAAAAUAUUUUUGACUCACAGUUGAAUUCUCAGUACUUCCAUCAAUUAAAUGGAAAAGCAAAUUAAUUGUAGUGUGGGAAUCUCUGGGAGUAUUUCUUGCUUUUUCUCUUUUACUAAUGUACUUGUUCUUCAGUAAAUAGAUUGGAUAGUUUGUUACUUCCAGAGGAAGACAGUAACCACCAAUAGACAGGAAAAUGUACCUCUGGUUUACCAAACUUAGUCAUAGUCACAUUACAGAGUUAAUUCUAUAAUGUUGUGAAAAACACCUGUGUCACAAAAAUGUUAAUGAUCUCUUGACUGCAUAGAUGAGUUGCGUUCCGGAGUCUUAAGUUGCUUUCUAAAUACUAAUUAAUUAAACCCAAGCUUUCUGUGUCAGGCGAUUACUCACUUUUGUCCUUUCCUUAGUCUACCCAAGCUGAAUUUCUGAUAAUAUGGUAAGACAAGAAUGAAACAUAACCCAAAACAUAAGCUUCCAGCCACGGUUCUGUGUGGAAAUUGCAGCUUAGGAAGAUUUUGUCACAAUGAGAUGGUAACCCCUGCUUCCCCCGGCCAUACAGAGGAUUGAAGAUGUAAGUACCUGGGGGACGCCAGCCACAGUGUUUUACCACCUACUCUUCCAGUAGCUUUGGAAAAGGAAAAAAAAAAGUCACAGAAUUGGGGCACACAGGGGAGAGUGCAGCAUGAACAAUUUUCCAUUAAUCUGAUAAAGAGGGAGGUAGUCUAGGUGCAGCUCUGAGAUGCAUUUCUGCAGGGGAGCCACUCCCUGAGAGCUUUGUGUUUCCUUCCUGUUAGCGAUCUCAUG